CACGUAGGGGGCGAGCGUUGUCCGGAUUCAUUGGGCGUAAAGAGCUCGUAGGCGGCUCAGUAAGUCGGGUGUGAAACCCUCAGGCUCAACCUGGGGACGCCACUCGAUACUGCUGUGGCUAGAGUCCAGUAGAGGAGUGUGGAAUUCCCGGUGUAGCGGUGAAAUGCGUAGAGAUCAGGAAGAACACCGGUGGCGAAAGCGCUCUGCUGGACCUUAACUGACACUGAGGGACGAAAGCUAGGGGAGCGAAUGGG
rnacentral:rRNA from 1 species